rnacentral:rRNA from 1 species
ACUCAAAUGAAUAGACGGGGGCCCGCACAAGCAGUGGAGUAUGUGGUUUAAUUCGAAGCAACGCGAAGAACCUUACCAGGGCUUGACAUACCAUUGACCGUGCUAGAGAUAGCACUUUCCUUCGGGACAAUGGAUACAGGUGGUGCAUGGUUGUCGUCAGCUCGUGUCGUGAGAUGUUGGGUUAAGUCCCGCAACGAGCGCAACCCUUGUUUUUAGUUGCCAGCACGUAAUGGUGGGCACUCUAGAGAGACUGCCGGUGAUAAAUCGGAGGAAGGUGGGGACGACGUCAAAUCAUCAUGCCCCUUAUGUCCUGGGCUACACACGUACUACAAUGGCUAUUACAGCGUGAUGCAAAACCGUAAGGUCCAGCAAAUCACUGAAAAAUAGUCCCAGUUCGGAUUGUGGGCUGAAACCCGCCCACAUGAAGUCGGAAUUGCUAGUAAUGGCAGGUCAGCAUACUGCCGUGAAUACGUUCCCGGGCCUUGUACACACCGCCCGU